AAACGCUUGAAGUCAGUCGCGUCUGUCCGGACUCAGCCUGGCCUUGGCCAUGGUGUAUUUCCGGUCCGACGGGCCAGCAUCAAUUUCGACCGCCGGAGAAGGGCUGGGGAAAUGUGGCACCUUCGGGUGUGUUAUAGUCCCCUGUCGCACACGGUGGUUGGGAUUGAGGAUCUCAGCGCGCCUUUUGGCCGGGGUUCGCCCACGUAACGCGCUCAGGAUGCUGGCGUAAUGGCUUUAAACGA
rnacentral:rRNA from 1 species